GUUUACGGCCAUACCAUCCUGAGCAUGCCCGAUCUCGUCCGAUCUCGGAAGCUAAGCAGGGUCGGGCCUGGUUAGUACUUGGAUGGGAGACCGCCUGGGAAUUCCAGGUGCUGUAAGCU
ensembl:rRNA 5S_rRNA 5S ribosomal RNA